GUAGGUGGCAAGCGUUUUCCGGAAUUAUUGGGCGUAAAGCGCGCGCAGGUGGUUCUUUAAGUCUGAUGUGAAAGCCCCCGGGCUCAACCGGGGAGGGUCAUUGGAAACUGGGGAACUUGAGUGCAGGAGAGGAAAGUGGAAUUCCACGUGUAGCGGUGAAAUGCGUAGAUAUGUGGAGGAACACCAGUGGCGAAGGCGACUUUCUGGCCUGUAACUGACACUGAGGCGCGAAAGCGUGGGGAGCAAACAGGAUUAGAUACCCUGGUAGUCCACGCCGUAAACGAUGAGUGCUAAGUGUUGGGGGGUUUCCGCCCCUCAGUGCUGCAGCUAACGCAUUAAGCACUCCGCCUGGGGAGUACGGUCGCAAAGACUG
rnacentral:rRNA from 1 species